GUGGGGAAUCUUGCGCAAUGGGCGAAAGCCUGACGCAGCCAUGCCGCGUGGAUGAUGAAGGUCUUAGGAUUGUAAAAUCCUUUCACCGGUGAAGAUAAUGACUGUAGCCGGAGAAGAAGCCCCGGCUAACUUCGUGCCAGCAGCCGCGGUAAUACGAAGGGGGCUAGCGUUGCUCGGAAUUACUGGGCGUAAAGGGAGCGUAGGCGGACAUUUAAGUCAGGGGUGAAAUCCCGAGGCUCAACCUCGGAACUGCCUUUGAUACUGGGUGUCUUGAGUGUGAGAGAGGUGAGUGGAACUCCGAGUGUAGAGGUGAAAUUCGUAGAUAUGCGGAAGAACACCAGUGGCGAAGGCGACACGCUGGCUCAUUACUGACGCUGAGGCGCGAAAGCGUGGGGAGCAAACAGGAUUAGAAACCCCAGUAGUCC
rnacentral:rRNA from 1 species